ensembl:snoRNA
AUGCUUCUAUUUGACAGACUUGGAGCAGUUACUAUUUGCUGCUAGGUUUUCCCCAAAGAUGCAAGAAAAAGUAUCUUCGUAUUUUCUGUCUGAUUAUGGCAGCUGAGGUUGAAUAGAGGAAUAAAGGA